ensembl:lncRNA
UGUUCUGUUCUGUAUGUUCUGCGCACUUUCGCUUUCUCCCGGAAGCUGAGCCGUUGUUUUUACGCGCUUAAUUUUCAGGAAACGGUAAAUGUUUACUUUCCAGUACGUCUUGAACUAUUCAGCCCACGGUGCGCUGUGACGGAGACCCUGCAAACUUCGUCUUAUACCGCUGACGGCUGUACACAAAAGAGCUCACCUUAAACAAGCUGCAGGUGCAACAGGAAGUGAAGACUUUGUCAAAGAACAUCUGCAGAUGUUCUCCUGCUGUUUUAGAUCAUACAGCUCAUCUCCUUGCAAAUCUCAGUGAGACGGUCUUCAGUUCAGGAAAGUCUUCAUUC